rnacentral:rRNA from 1 species
GAGAGUUUGAUCCUGGCUCAGGACGAACGCUGGCGGCGUGCCUAAUACAUGCAAGUUGAGCGCUGAAGUCUGGUACUUGUACUAGAUGGAUGAGCAGCGAACGGGUGAGUAACGCGUGGAUAACCUGCCUCUUAGCGGGGGAUAACUAGAGGAAACUUUA